GAAGCAGUGAUGUGAAGCAAAUCGCACCAAAGCCGGUCCCAGUUCGGAUAAGAGGCUGAAACUCGCCUCUUUGAAGUCGGAAUCGCUAGUAAUCGCAGAUCAGCAUGUUGCGGUGAAUACGUUCCCGGGUCUUGUACACACCGCCCGUCAAACCAUGAGAGUCACCAACACCCGAAGUCCGCUUUGGCGGCCUAAGGUGGGGGAGAUGAUUGGGGUUAAGUCGUAACAAGGUAAC
rnacentral:rRNA from 1 species